UACGAAGGGGGCUAGCGUUGUUCGGAAUUACUGGGCGUAAAGCGCGCGUAGGCGGCUUUUCAAGUCAGGGGUGAAAUCCCGGGGCUCAACCCCGGAACUGCCCUUGAAACUGGAUGGCUAGAAUCCUGGAGAGGCGAGUGGAAUUCCGAGUGUAGAGGUGAAAUUCGUAGAUAUUCGGAAGAACACCAGUGGCGAAGGCGACUCGCUGGACAGGUAUUGACGCUGAGGUGCGAAAGCGUGGGGAGCAAAC
rnacentral:rRNA from 1 species